UUUGGAGUCAAGAAUAUUAGUCAAUGCUCGCAAGAGUGAACUAGCUAACUGAAAUCAUAGAAUUUCUUUAAAUUCAUGAUGUCGUAAGGGAAAAUAAUGUAAUACCUUACUAUGAGUGUCGUCCAAAUCUGGUGCCAGAAGACUCGGUAAGACCAGAGACGCAAACGUUAAUCAUCAUAAACAGGCGUAAAGGGUUUGUAGGCAGCUUUCACAAGAUUAUGAAUUCAAAAUAAAGUCAUCUAAUUGAAAGCUAGAAUCAAAAAGAGGUUAUAGUGUAUAACGCCUAGAGGAGGGCUGAUAUCCAUAGAUCCUAGGCAGAAUACUUAGGGCGAAGGCCACUCUCCACUAAUGAUUGACGCUGAGAAACGAAGGUUAGGGUAGGAAAUAGGAUUAGAUACCCCGGUACUCCUUUCUGUAAACGAUGAAUGGUAGUCAUUAGUUUUUUAAAAUAAUUAGAGACGAAGUUAACACAAUAACCAUUCCGCCUUGUGAGUACUACUGCAAAGUAGAAAACAAAAAAAUUAGUGGUCUCGAAGCAAACGGAGUGAAGCAUGUUAUUUAAUACGAUAAUCCGCGUAAAACCUUACCAGAACUUGCAUACAAACGGUUUU
rnacentral:rRNA from 1 species